rnacentral:rRNA from 1 species
UUGAACGCUAGCGGGAUGCUUUACACCUGCAAGUCGAACGGCAGCGCGGACUUCGGUCUGGCGGCGAGUGGCGAACGGGUGAGUAAUGUAUCGGAACGUGCCCAGUAGCGGGGGAUAACUACGCGAAAGCGUAGCUAAUACCGCAUACGCCCUACGGGGGAAAGCAGGGGAUCGUAAGACCUUGCACUAUUGGAGCGGCCGAUAUCGGAUUAGCUAGUUGGUGAGGUAACGGCUCACCAAGGCGACGAUCCGUAGCUGGUUUGAGAGGACGACCAGCCACACUGGGACUGAGACACGGCCCAGACUCCUACGGGAGGCAGCAGUGGGGAAUUUUGGACAAUGGGGGCAACCCUGAUCCAGCCAUCCCGCGUGUGCGAUGAAGGCCUUCGGGUUGUAAAGCACUUUUGGCAGGAAAGAAACGUCGCGGGCUAAUACCCCAUGGAACUGACGGUACCUGCAGAAUAAGCACCGGCUAACUACGUG